UACAGAGGUCCCAAGCGUUGUUCGGAUUCACUGGGCGUAAAGGGUGCGCAGGCGGCCGUGUGUGUCAGGUGUGAAAGCCCGGGGCUUAACCCCGGAAUUGCGCCUGAAACUACAUGGCUAGAGCAUUGGAGAGGGUAGCGGAAUUCACGGUGUAGCAGUGAAAUGCGUAGAUAUCGUGAGGAACACCAGAGGCGAAGGCGGCUACCUGGACAAUUGCUGACGCUCAGGCACGAAAGCGUGGGGAGCAAAAGGG
rnacentral:rRNA from 1 species